rnacentral:rRNA from 1 species
UGGGGAAUAUUGGACAAUGGGCGAAAGCCUGAUCCAGCCAUGCCGCGUGUGUGAAGAAGCUCUUCGGAUUUUAAAGCACUUUAAGUUGGGAGGAAGGGCAGUAAGCGAAUACCUUGCUGUUUUGACGUUACCGACAGACUAAGCACCGGCUAACUCUGUGCCAGCAGCCGCGGUAAUACAGAGGGUGCAAGCGUUAAUCGGAAUUACUGGUCGUAAAGCGCGCGUAGGUGGUUCGUUAAGUUGAAUGUGAAAGCCCCGGGCUCAACCUGGGAACUGCAUCCAAAACUGGCGAGCUAGAGUAGGGCAGAGGGUGGUGGAAUUUCCUGUGUAGCGGUGAAAUGCGUAGAUAUAGGAAGGAAAACCAGUGGCGAAGGCGACCACCUGGGCUCAUACUGACACUGAGGUGCGAAAGCGUGGGGAGCAAACAGG